UUACCGUGGUUACCGGAGAAACCCUUACCUCUCCCGCUUAGCGCCUCCUGCUGGAAGAUAAUGAACUCGCAGAGUGCCGCCACCAAUUGAGUGUAACGAUGUGGGAAACAAUGCAUUGCUACGUUAAAAUGAACCCAAAUUGAGCUAGGCAUUAAACCUACAAAUAUUUUUCAUUUUAAAUAUCACUUUUACAAACAAAUAAUAAUUAUCAAAAGGAAAAUAUUUAUUAAAAACAAGAGAAAAGUCAAAAAGUAACAUGCAAGAAGAAAUGCAGAAAAGGAUGGCAUUAACAGCUACAGAGUUCAUAAAGCAUUGCACAUUUUUUGAAUAUAACUUAAUUAGGUUCUUUAACAACUAUUCUGGCAUGACAGUACACAAAUAAAUCACAACAUUAACUCUGAUUUUAUAACAUUUAACAGACGUGUGUGUCUGUGUGUGUGUGUGUGUGUUUGUGUGUG